rnacentral:lncRNA from 1 species
AUGCGCCGGGGCAGCCCCGGCUCUGUUUUGGCGGAGCUGGGCUCCCUCCCUCCUUUGUUAUCCUCCGUCUGCCCCCUCCGCUCUGUGUGUGUGUGCGCGCUCGAGUUCUUUCUCCGAUUGUCAGAAUUUUCUUUUCCACUGUGUGGGCAGGAGACAGAUUUUAACUGUCUCUAUUUUCUCCUCGGUAUUUUUUUUUUUUUUUUUUUCAAAUUUCGCUUUCUCCCCCCCCUCCCCCUUUCCCUCUCGCCUUUCUCCCUUCCCCUCUCCGCCGUCUCUCCUCCCUCUCUCCCUCCGCACCGCCGAUGCCUCGGGCAUAGCACGCAGCCGGAGCCAGCCAUGCCUCCCGCCCCAGGUGAGCCCCCGCCGGCUCCCCGCUCCCAUCCCAGCGCUGUCCCCGCGCCCGCUGCCACCUGUUGGGGACAACCACCAGCUGCCCGCGGGGAGCCGCCUUCCUCCUUCUCCUCCUCCUCCUCCUCCUCCGGGUGGACAUUUCCUCCCUCCCUUCUCCCGAGGCUUUUGUCUCAGCCCGGCGGCCGGGGAUGCUCGCGGCUCGGGGGGAUUUUUCCACGCUUCGAAGGGACGGAGCCUGGGACAGAGUGAUGAGCUGUGCCCGCUCCCAGGAUGCUCGGACUCGGCACGUGCUCCGUCAGUGCCCCGGGCAGGGCGGCUGAGCCGGCCGCAUCCCCCCACUACGCUCUGACCCUGCCCGAGGAGGAGAUGUGGCGCGAGCACCGACUUGCCCUGAUGCACAGCACCCAGUCCUGCAACUUGCUGGAGCCCCAGAGCCUGGCCGAGGUGCUGGUCUCACGCGCCGCCAGCUUCGAUGCCCUCUGCCAGCCGCGGGAUGCCGACGGUGACAGCGGCAGCGCCUUGGACCUGGGGCUCGGUGCCUAUGUCCCCAUCAGCCCCGAUGUCAUCAAGCGCCGUCGGGGAGGGCUGAUCGAGCAGAGGGACAUCAUCAAGGCACACGAGGCACACAAGAUGCAGAGCACGCCGCAGGCACGGAGGAAGGAGUGGGAGUAAGUAGGGGACGGGGCUGUCAGGGUGGGAGGGGCGGUCACAGCGGUGUCACCCCAAGGAGCAGCCGGUGUCACAGGGCUCAGCUUCCAGGGCGGUUUCUUUGAGUUUUUUUGGUGUGCGUGUGGGAGAUGGAGCGGUGAUGCGGUGCUGCACUGAAAUCGUAGGGUGUUCCCACUUGUGUCUGCUCGGCAGAACCAUGGGAUGGGCUGCUGCAUGGCGCCUUGCCCCCGCUGCCACCUGGCUGUGCCCUCUCCUGGGGCUGGCACUGUUUGGCUGGACACUGUUGGAGUUGACCCGCCGACAUAUGGGCUCCGUGAGAGCGCUGCCUCGUUAUCCCCCGCACCCUGCUGGAGCUGCUAGAUGAAUAAAUCAUGGGCAGGCAGGAAGCA